rnacentral:tRNA from 1 species
GGGGUUGUGGCUCAGGGGAAGAGCACUUGCCUCACACAUAUGUGGCACUGGGUUCGAUCCUCAGCACCACA